rnacentral:lncRNA from 1 species
CAAGGAGGAAAGCAGCUUAAGAAUUAAGCCCACCGUUGGUGGGGAUGUAAAAUGGUGUAGCAGCAAUGGAAAAGUCCGGUGGUUCCUCAAAAAAUUAAAGAUACAAUUACCAUAUGAUCCAGCAACUCCAUCUCUAGUUAUGAUCUAAGUCAUCCCCGCUGCCAUAUUGUACUUGAAAGAAGACAUUACCAUCAGCUUCCAGAAAACCAACCAGGGGAGCUUCCAGUCCAGCACCUUCCUCUCCAUCAGCCAUCCCAGUGACUUCAUCCAACCCCACGUGUGCACGAAAGAGUUGAUUCAGCAGGUCUGGGAUCUUCAAACCCUGCACAUUCCAAAGAAAGUUCUGGCCCUUGCCUGUCUCAUAGAAGACAACCUCUAAGCUCUUAGAAUAUCCUGCUGGUGUACCUCAGAGAUGUUGCAAGUUCGGUUCCAGACAACCACAAUAGAGUGAAUAUUGCAAUAAAGCACCUUAAAUGAUGCUGGUUUGGUGUGCUUUGGAGUGUGAAAUUAAUCAAGAGAGCAACGAAAAUAUCUCAGUCUUUCUGGAGGACAUUGCUGAGUAUGAUUGUACAGGAUCUUCUAAUUGCCUCCAAACAACUAAGAGCUAAGCAGCGAUUGUGUUUUCCCAACUAUCUGCAACCAUUGUACCCACUGAAUUGGACAACCACAGCCUGUGGCCACUGGUGCUAUAAGAAUCACCCAUGUUAGACAUCAGAGAUUUCCUGGUCCUGGUAAAAAAGCUCUUCCACCUUCCUGUCAUAACAGUCACUCGUUUGGGGCUGGGGACUGAGAAUGGUUUGCUGGCUGAGGCUCCCCAAGCACUGGAGAGAUCCAGGUGUCAGGCUCUUUCUGAGGACGACCUGUUUUGGCACAGACACUUUAGUCCUCCAGAGGUGUUCUCUUUGUCUGCACGCAUCCUGGGGGCCCACGCAGACACAGCAGUCAGGCCUCUGGAGCUGGCCCGGGAAGUCCCAGCCGGGCACUGCAGAGCAGACAGAAGCCGGAGUUAGUGAUGACCCAGGACGAAUUCUAGGGAGGAACAGGAUGUGAGCAUUUUUGUUUUAAAUUUCCUUAUCACUAUUUUCCUAUUGUCACCUUAAUGGUAGCUUUUUUAAAGUUUUU